rnacentral:rRNA from 1 species
AUGCCACCCAUAAGUGGUGCCGGUCUCCUUCCCGUGUGUGUUCCAAGGGGUGGCCGGGGCCGCGGCUGGCGGCGAUCGGAUUUGCAGGGGGACGGGGCUAUGGAGCUCGCUAGCGUGCAACGGCGUGGGUCGGCGGCAUCCGAAGGCCCAUGUUGGCAGUGGAUCGCUGGUGCACUCAAGUCGUUAACUUGUUUGGGUGUGCCCUCAAGAAGAAGAAGAAGAAGAAGAAGAAGAGAUUCCAGUAGUGUUGGAUGCGAUGAAGACUUUGCUUCACACACAGUUGCUCAGCGGCAGCAUUCGAGGACUUCUUUGUUGGUUGUGCCUGGGGGAGGAAGUGGGGGUGCGAAGGAAGACAAGGAGAGGAUGGCGGCGCAGUCCGUCCUUGUGGUCGAAGAGGAGAACCACCUGGGAGACGGUGGUAAGAAGGGGGCCGCAGGGAGUGGAGAUGGAAGCCAGGGGCGGGAGGGAGCAAAGGGGGAGUACCAUGCUUGGGGACCUCCCGCAAGUCUUCAGGAUAGAUUUGAAGGUCUGCACCUGCGUGGAGAGGAGGAAGUUGAACUCGAUUUCAGUGCUGAAUUUGAAGAUCUAGUCAAGAACAUUAGGUGGCUGGCGAUAUUCAGAGUUCAUACAACUCGUCAGUUCAGCCAUUCAGCUCUGUACAACGCGAUGCGCACGGCAUGGUCGUCGGCCCAACAAGUUAUCUUCAAACCAAAGGGUCUCAACCUGUUCAUUGCACAAUUUAGUUGUUUGGGGGAUUGGAAGAGGGUGAUGGACGGUGGCCCCUGGUUGUUUAGGAACGCGGCUGUUUUGAUCCAGGAAUACGACAGGUUUAGCAAUGUUAAUGACUACAAGCUGGAUAAGAUCCCAGUUUGGACAAGAAUUGAAGGGGUGUCGGAGGGUUUGAUGCGGAAGAAAGAGCUAGCAGAGAAGGUAGCCCGCAAGGUGGGAGAACCGCCAAUAACGGUGGUAGUGAAUGAAGGCUUCAUCAACACCUCUAAAUUUCUUAGGGCCAGAGUGUUUCUUGAUGUUCAUGUGCCUCUGGUCAGGUUUGUGCCCAUAACCUUGAAGGAGAGGAAAAAGUACCCAGUUUACUAUGAAAAGCUUCCCGACUUUUGCUACUUUUGUGGCCUGAUGGGGCACCAAGUGGAGGAGUGCGGGGAUGGAGUUCACGAUCCUACUGCUUGUGAAUGGGGAGACUGGCUUCUGUGGAACUUUGAAAAUACUAUGCCAAAACAGAAUGGGGGGAGAGGAGGCAGAGGUGGGGGAGAUAGGGGAGGAAGUGUGUCAGGAGGUAGAGGAGGUUGGGGUCGAGGGAGCAUGGCUCGUGGAAGCACCAAAAGUGAUAGAAAUGAGGCCACUGAAAUGGAGUAUAGUACUCAAGAUGUUAGAUAUGUUCCUAUUAUGCCGGGCACUGUUGCUGGAAAAAUUCUUCAGAUUGAGGCAGCUCCAGUAGUGAAUGACGCAAAUGCAGGGACCCCUGGCAAGCAACCUAUUGUAAAGAGGCGUAGGCAGGGAGAUGAUGGAGUAAGAUCAUGUUACCGCAUGCUCAAGGAGACAAAACAGAGGAGAGAGGACUGGCUAAACAGGAAUGGAAGGAACUCGGAUUACCAAUCAAACAAGAAACAGUGGUGUAGGCUUUGGGGUGCAAAAAUUCCAGCCAAACUGAAAAACUUUGUGUGGAGGCUCUCCCAUAACUCUAUACCGACAGAGGGAGUCAGACAUCACACACACAUGACAGAAAAUGAUGUUUGCAAAAUAUGCAAUGGUGCUGUGGAUAGCUGGAAGCAUGCGUUGAUAGAAUGUCAAAUGGCCAAGUGUGUUUGGGCCAUGGUUGAUGAGGAGUUAGUCCAGCAUAUGGUAACGAUUACCACUGAUGAUGCUCGAUUAUGGCUAGUGGAGCUACAAGAUUUAUUGAGGAUCUGUCUUUUAUCCCUCAAAAGAAGCAUUCUGUGCAACAGGUUAGCUCAAGAGCCAAUGUACAGGCAAAGAAAUGGCUACCUCCCAGCAUCAACGUUGGUGGUGGACAACCUGCAUCCGGAAACCCUGGAGGCGAUGGCCAGCAAUGAGGGUCUCUCGUUGGCCCUCGAUCUCAACAUACAGAACGUCCAGAUUAGCACAGACUGUGUGGCUACUGUUAAUCACAUCGGAGAACCUUUUCUAGGUCCAAGUAAAGUUAUCGUGGAGGAGAUCAAGAUGAAGCUUCAGAUGUUUCCAGAAUUUGAAGUCAUCCACGAGAGACACCACGCAUCCAUCUACGCCGGCGGCGCUGGCCCGAAGGCCGGGCCGCAAACGGUGAUGCAAUGUAGCUGUGCCUCCUCGCACGCAACGGCGCAGUCCGGCAGCUGUCCAGCGGCCUUCGUGGAGCACCCGCUGGUGCACUCAACGGCACCCGUCGCACACCCCAUCACGCAGGAGACGAGGGAGUUGACGUUGGCCCGCCCAUCGCCAGCAUCCGCGCCGCCGGCGGCUGCUGCUCCCGCCAUGAGGAGGAGUAUCACCGAGGCGCUGGUGAACGGUGAAGCCAUCCUGUCCUGUGCGUCGAUUUUUCGUGUGGCGUGGCUAGAGUUUCAGACUACUUACACUUUGUGGUGCGACGGGCCACGGCUUCGGAGGGAGAAUUUAUAG